GUCUUAAAUGACUCUCGGCAACGGAUAUCUCGGCUCUUGCAUCGAUGAAGAACGUAGCGAAAUGCGAUACUUGGUGUGAAUUGCAGAAUCCCGURAACCAUCGAGUCUUUGAACGCAAGUUGCGCCUGAAGCCAUUAGGCUGAGGGCACGCCUGCCUGGGUGUCACAC
rnacentral:rRNA from 1 species